GAGUUUGAUCCUGGCUCAGGACGAACGCUGGCGGCGCGCCUAACACACGCAAGUCGAACGAGCGAGAGAGAGCUUGCUUUCUCGAGCGAGUGGCGAACGGGUGAGUAACGCGUGAGGAACCUGCCUCAAAGAGGGGGACAACAGUUGGAAACGACUGCUAAUAUCGCAUAAGCCCACGGCUCGGCAUCGAGCAGAGGGAAAAGGAGUAAUCCGCUUUGAGAUGGCCUCGCGUCCGAUUAGCUAGUUGGUGAGGUAACGGCCCACCAAGGCAACGAUCGGUAGCCGGACUGAGAGGUUGAACGGCCACAUUGGGACUGAGACACGGCCCAGACUCCUACGGGAGGCAGCAGUGGGGAAUAUUGCACAAUGGGGGAAACCCUGAUGCAGCGACGCCGCGUGGAGGAAGAAGGUCUUCGGAUUGUAAACUCCUGUUGUUGGGGAAGAUAAUGACGGUACCCAACAAGGAAGUGACGGCUAACUACGUGCCAGCCGCCGCGGUAAUAC
rnacentral:rRNA from 1 species